CGAAGGAAGUGGUGUAGCAAAUCUUACGAGCCUACGAAUAGAAACCUAAUGAGGCUAAAUGGUGGAUAAGGUUGCAUAUCAAACCGAAGUCCGAAAGGUAAACGUAAAACCAAGACAGUAAAUCAGGAGGUUGUGAAGAGAAAGAUAU
rnacentral:ncRNA from 1 species